rnacentral:rRNA from 1 species
GUCGAACGAUGAACCUUAUUAGAUUUCUUCGGAAUGAAAAUAAGUGGAUUACUGUAGAACGGGUGAGUAACACGUGAGUAACCUGCCUUACACAACGGGAUAGCCUUUGGAAACGAAGAAUAAUACCCUAUAAAGUCAAAAUAUCGCAUGAUAAAGUGACCAAAGAUUUAUCGGUGUAAGAUGGACUUGCGUCUGAUUAGCUAGUUGGUGAGAUAAAAGCCCACCAAGGCGACGAUCAGUAGCCGGCUUGAGAGAGUGUACGGCCACAUUGGGACUGAGACACGGCCCAAACUCCUACGGGAGGCAGCAGUGGGGAAUUUUGCACAAUGGGGGAAACCCUGAUGCAGCGACGCCGCGUGAUUUAGAAGGCCUUCGGGUUGUAAAAAUCUUUUUUAUGGGAUGAAAAUGACAGUACCAUAAGAAUAAGGUCCGGCUAAAUACGUGCCAGCAGCCGCGGUAAUACGUAUGGACCGAGCGUUGUCCGGAAUCAUUGGGCGUAAAGGGUACGUAGGCGGCCUAGUAAGUUAGAAGUGAAAUAAUAUAGCUCAACUAUAUAAAGCUUUUAAAACUGUUAGGCUUGAGAGAUGAAAGGGAAAGUGGAAUUCCUAGUGUAGCGGUGAAAUGCGCAGAUAUUAGGAAGAAUACCGGUGGCGAAGGCGACUUUCUGGUCAUCAUCUGACGCUGAGGUACGAAAGCGUGGGUAGCAAACAGGAUUAGAUACCCUGGUAGUCCACGCUGUAAACGAUGAGUGUUAGGUUCUUGGAAUAAUCUGGGAGCCGCAGCUAACGCAUUAAACACUC